AAAUUGAAGAGUUUGAUCAUGGCUCAGAUUGAACGCUGGCGGCAGGCCUAACACAUGCAAGUCGAACGGUAACAGGAAGCAGCUUGCUGCUUUGCUGACGAGUGGCGGACGGGUGAGUAAUGUCUGGGAAACUGCCUGAUGGAGGGGGAUAACUACUGGAAACGGUGGCUAAUACCGCAUAACGUCGCAAGACCAAAGAGGGGGACCUUCGGGCCUCUUGCCAUCAGAUGUGCCCAGAUGGGAUUAGCUUGUUGGUGAGGUAACGGCUCACCAAGGCGACGAUCCCUAGCUGGUCUGAGAGGAUGACCAGCCACACUGGAACUGAGACACGGUCCAGACUCCUACGGGAGGCAGCAGUGGGGAAUAUUGCACAAUGGGCGCAAGCCUGAUGCAGCCAUGCCGCGUGUAUGAAGAAGGCCUUCGGGUUGUAAAGUACUUUCAGCGGGGAGGAAGGUGUUGUGGUUAAUAACCGCAGCAAUUGACGUUACCCGCAGAAGAAGCACCGGCUAACUCCGUGCCAGCAGCCGCGGUAAUACGGAGGGUGCAAGCGUUAAUCGGAAUUACUGGGCGUAAAG
rnacentral:rRNA from 1 species